UGAAAGUAGUGGGCUGUUUUCAACAGUGGGAAGAGAUGUUGCCUCCUUGAGAAAGGAAAUGAGGAUGAUGUCAAGGAUUUUGAUGACACUAUUUGCUGAGAUUUGCAACAUUCUGGGAGGAACAGCUGUGAAUACAAGAUGCUGACUCCAGAACUGCAACUCAUUCUGCAGAGGGCACCAGCCUUCCCCACUAAUGACCGCUGAGCUGAGCCACCUGAAGCCUGAGUGAGGUUUAACAGCAGCUGCACUUCUGCUCCAAGAAACAGCUGGCUGCAAUCAGAUCACACUGAGGCUCUUCCCCACGUCACCUGGAAGCUUGGGUAUUUGUUUUCAGAGCAUUAAACAGGAAAGUCAGAUCCAGGCAGAGACAAGACUGCAGAGGAGCAUCCUGGGGAAAAGUAGGACCCUUAAUACUUACAGCAUGGAGGCACCUUCCUUUAACAUUAAAUUUGUCAGAACGAAAAUUUGUCUAUGUAAACCAGGGACUUGUCUUUGGCGUCCUCUCAGGGCUUUUGGGAACUGAGUUCUCUAUUACCAGCUGCAUAUAGUUCAGCUAACUGUUGGGGGCAUGCAAGCAAGGUUAUAAAGCACGACCUCUGCGCUCCAGGAAAGCCCACUGGGAAGAAGGUGGAAAAACAGAGGGUUAUACCCUUGCAAAUCAAAGUGCGUUCUGAGGAUCAGCGGCGUUACCUGGGAGCUUCCUAGAAACAGUGUCGGGGGCCUCAUCCCAGACUUGUUCAAUAAGAAUCUGCAUUUUAACAAGAUGCCCA